GCUGGUCUUUUACAGUUGGCUCGUUAUUGUGCUGAACUCAUUUUGGGAGCAGAUCUGAUUGAAGACAUUGAAGAUGAGUUCCCAAAGAUGAUCGAUAUAUGAUUCAAUGAAAAGUUUGCAGCGCUUCUUCUCUGGGUGGACGCGGGACCACAGCGCCACCGUCUGGAGAGGAGAAGGAAAUAGCCCCUGUGUUUGAGCCCGUGCCACAGGAUUACCC
rnacentral:lncRNA from 1 species